GUGGCGUUGAUAGAUGGUAACAACAUCUAUCAUCUUCGUUGAGCUCCACAGGCCGAAACCAACGGUCUUCGAAUCUCCCUAUACCUGGGAACUCACUACGAUGGGUCACGCCGGAGAAGAUGAACACGGUGUCGUCGGAAAAAAGAAACCCUAGGUGUAUCGGACAAAGGGAUUUAGAGAGGCUGGAGUUGUUUUCUCAUUCUAAAGAGGAAGAUUUUAGUGCCAUUGAUUCAGACGACACACUAAGUUUAGGGAGUAUCGACCUAAGCAGCUCAAGAAAUGUGUUUGAUGAAGACAGUCUGGGAACAGAGGUAUUUUUUCAAGAGAACAAGGAAGAAGAUGAGGCACCAAAGUUUAAGGCUACGGUUCAGGUGCCGCUUGUACCUGCAAAGGAAGUCAGUCCAUUAGUGCAGGAAGAGCAGGAUAUGAUGCUGGUAGGAAACUCUUCUUAUGCUCCAACCUGCAACGUAACACUAGAAGAAGGACAAAAAUGGAAGUCUUUCACCUAUUAAAGCAGACAGGGUUUUGAUUCACGGUGUAAACUCUCUCACGCAAGCUCAGUCACAGGGAACAUCUUUAGGCCCAUCUCCUUACGAGAAUCCCUCUCCCUUGGAAGUCGUCCCCUCAGUCCCAAACAUUACAGUUGCAAGGUCGAAGCAUGGUAUCAACUUGUGCCAAAGGAUGUUCUUGACUUGCUAGAGGAGACGAGAUUGUUAGGUGCCAAAGCAGUUGAAACACCAAUGGAGCUAAAUGUCAAAUGAACCAUUGAUGCAGGUGAAGAAUUUGAAGAUCCUGGAAGGUACAAAAGAUUAGUGGGUAAGUUAAACUACUUGACUAUUACUCCGCCAAAUAUAUAACUUGCAAUUAGUGUGGUAAGUCGGUUUAUGCAAAAUCCUCGAGUUCCACAUUGGGAUGUAGUUCUAACUUCUAAGAAUUGUGCGAUAUUUGAAGGGGGCUCCAAGUUUUGGUUUGUUAUACAAAGACAGGAAGAAGUUUUGAGAUAGAAGGUUACACAGAUGCUGAUUGGAUUGACUCAAUAUCUGACAGAAGAUCCAAUACAAGGUAUUACACUUUUUUUUGGAGGGAAUCUGGUGACAUGGAAGAGCAAGAAACAAAUUGUAGUAGCAAGGAGCAGUGUUGAAGCUGAAGCCAUGGCACACAUUGCUUGUGAAUUGGUGUGGUUAAAGAAUCUCUUGCAGGAGAUUGGGUACUCAGUUGACAGCCCUAUGAAGUUAUACUGUGACAACCAAGCUAUAGUUCACAUCUCAUUUAAUCCAGUUUUCCACGAAAGAAUGAAGCACAUAGAGGUUGAUUUCCACUUUGUAAGAGAAAAAGGGGCUUAGUAGAGUGGUAAGCACAACACAUGUGAAUUCAGAAAAUCAUUGGGCAAAUUUGUUUUCAAAAGGGUUGAGUUAGGGAAGAGUGGAUUACAUAUGUAACAAGCUAGGAUUAUAUGACAUAUACUCAUCAGCUUGAGGGGGAGUGUUAGAGUCAACAAUCAAGAGGGUAUUUUAAUCUUUGUGCUUUGUUAUUAAGAAUUACUUUGUCUAGUUUGUCUCAGUUUAAGUUAUGUGUCCCAUACUUAAUUAGGGACAUAAGAGUCUUUGUACCUUGAGUUCAAAACAUAUAAAUAAGGAGUUGGUUGGCUAGGAGAGUGUGAUUUUUCUCUUCAGUUGUUUCUCUUUAUUCUCUUCUCCUUCUCUUUCUGUUCUUCCUCUCUAUUCUUUCAUUCUUACUUUUGCCCUAGAAUUGAACCAGUGCUAACCGAACCAUUAACACAUUCCAUCACCUUUCUUUCUUUCUUCUCAGAAGAGUGUGCCACUUCACUCCACGUCAUUGUUAUAUCAGUCCUUGAGAAGCUUUGAAAGAGAUAAAAGUGUUUUUACCUAGUGUGCAACUUUUAUCUGUAUAGUCUCCACUAGUUCUUCAUUUGACCUAUACUUCUCGUUGAAAAUUCUUGCAUUCCAUUCCUCCUAUACAGUUCAUACCACUACUGCCCUAACUGAUUUCCACAUAACUCUUCCUAUUUUUGUUGGCUUCCUUAGAAAGUUUGGGUUCAAGCUUAGUACAUCCUGGGGAGUACCUCACCUGCAACCUAAGGGAGAAAAAAAAAGCAAAAAAAGCAAUGGAUCAGUAAAUGGGGUAGGGAUUCACCAUUUGCAAAGCAAAGAGAAUAUACAUGGGGGAGGCAUUUAUUCGACCUUCUCUUUUGAAGCAUGUCACAAGCGUUCACCUUCCCAAGAAAAACCUUCUUGUAGAGAGCAUGGAUUUUUGGUGGAAUGAGCGUACUCCAUAUCUCUUUCACCAAGAAAUUCUCUCUCCCAACAAGAGUUUGCACAAGAGUAUUGAAAAAAGAAGCAUAGAUAAAGAUGCCAUCAGAUGAGGUAGACCAAAUUCUAGUGUCCUCCAAAGAUUGAACCAAGAAGGCUGACUUAAGUUUGUCUAGCAAAUGAAUAAGGGAUUCACACUCAUUAUCCCUUAAUUCUCUCCUAAAACCAAAGUCCCAACUCAAUCCAAAGUGAGAAAAAGUGACAGAAUUUGAUAUAUGUUGUAACUUGUAGUCAGAUAUUGAAUAAAGAGAACAAAAAGGAAUAUCGUCCAACCAAAGAUCUUCCCAAAAGAGUACCCUAGAACCACAACCCACGUCAAAUCUAAUGAGAUUAAUAAAGAUCGGAUAUACCUCUUGUAUUGCUUUCCAUGGAGAGCUCGAGGUU